rnacentral:rRNA from 1 species
UACGUAGGGCGCGAGCGUUGUCCGGAAUUAUUGGGCGUAAAGAGCUCGUAGGCGGCCUGUUGCGUCCGCUGUGAAAUCCCAGGGCUUAACCCUGGGCGUGCAGUGGAUACGGGCAGGCUGGAGGCAGGCAGGGGAGAACGGAAUUCCCGGUGUAGCGGUGAAAUGCGCAGAUAUCGGGAGGAACACCGGUGGCGAAGGCGGUUCUCUGGGCCUGUUCUGACGCUGAGGAGCGAAAGCGUGGGGAGCGAACAGG